GGUUAAGUUAGAAAGGGCGCACGGUGGAUGCCUUGACACUAGGAGUCGAUGAAGGACGGGACUAACGCCGAUAUGCUUCGGGGAGCUGUAAGUAAGCUUUGAUCCGAAGAUUUCCGAAUGGGGAAACCCACCAUACGUAAUGGUAUGGUAUCCUUAUCUGAAUACAUAGGGUAAGGAAGACAGACCCAGGGAACUGAAACAUCUAAGUACCUGGAGGAAGAGAAAGCAAAUGCGAUUUCCUGAGUAGCGGCGAGCGAAACGGAACAUAGCCCAAACCAAGAGGCUUGCCUCUUGGGGUUGUAGGACAUUCUAUACGGAGUUACAAAGGAACGAGGUAGACGAAGCGACCUGGAAAGGUCCGUCGUAGAGGGUAACAACCCCGUAGUCGAAACUUCGUUCUCUCUUGAAUGUAUCCUGAGUACGGCGGAACACGUGAAAUUCCGUCGGAAUCUGGGAGGACCAUCUCCCAAGGCUAAAUACUCCCUAGUGAUCGAUAGUGAACCAGUACCGUGAGGGAAAGGUGAAAAGCACCCCGGAAGGGGAGUGAAAGAGAUCCUGAAACCGUGUGCCUACAAAUAGUCAGAGCCCGUUAACGGGUGAUGGCGUGCCUUUUGUAGAAUGAACCGGCGAGUUACGAUCCCGUGCGAGGUUAAGCUGAAGAGGCGGAGCCGCAGCGAAAGCGAGUCUGAAUAGGGCGUUUAGUACGUGGUCGUAGACCCGAAACCAGGUGAUCUACCAUGUCCAGGGUGAAGUUCAGGUAACACUGAAUGGAGGCCCGAACCCACGCACGUUGAAAAGUGCGGGGAUGAGGUGUGGGUAGCGGAGAAAUUCCAAUCGAACCUGGAGAUAGCUGGUUCUCCCCGAAAUAGCUUUAGGGCUAGCCUUAAGUGUAAGAGUCUUGGAGGUAGAGCACUGAUUGGACUAGGGGUCCUCAUCGGAUUACCGAAUUCAGUCAAACUCCGAAUGCCAAUGACUUAUCCUUAGGAGUCAGACUGCGAGUGAUAAGAUCCGUAGUCAAAAGGGAAACAGCCCAGACCGCCAGCUAAGGUCCCAAAGUGUGUAUUAAGUGGAAAAGGAUGUGGAGUUGCUUAGACAACUAGGAUGUUGGCUUAGAAGCAGCCACCAUUUAAAGAGUGCGUAAUAGCUCACUAGUCGAGUGACUCUGCGCCGAAAAUGUACCGGGGCUAAAUACACCACCGAAGCUGCGGAUUGAUACCAAUGGUAUCAGUGGUAGGGGAGCGUUCUAAGGACAGUGAAGUCAGACCGGAAGGACUGGUGGAGUGCUUAGAAGUGAGAAUGCCGGUAUGAGUAGCGAAAGACGGGUGAGAAUCCCGUCCACCGAAUGCCUAAGGUUUCCUGAGGAAGGCUCGUCCGCUCAGGGUUAGUCAGGACCUAAGCCGAGGCCGACAGGCGUAGGCGAUGGACAACAGGUUGAUAUUCCUGUACCACCUCUUUAUCGUUUGAGCAAUGGAGGGACGCAGAAGGAUAGAAGAAGCGUGCGAUUGGUUGUGCACGUCCAAGCAGUUAGGCUGAUAAGUAGGCAAAUCCGCUUAUCGUGAAGGCUGAGCUGUGAUGGGGAAGCUCCUUAUGGAGCGAAGUCUUUGAUUCCCCGCUGCCAAGAAAAGCUUCUAGCGAGAUAAAAGGUGCCUGUACCGCAAACCGACACAGGUAGGCGAGGAGAGAAUCCUAAGGUGUGCGAGAGAACUCUGGUUAAGGAACUCGGCAAAAUGACCCCGUAACUUCGGGAGAAGGGGUGCUUUCUUAACGGAAAGCCGCAGUGAAUAGGCCCAAGCGACUGUUUAGCAAAAACACAGCUCUCUGCGAAGCCGUAAGGCGAAGUAUAGGGGGUGACACCUGCCCGGUGCUGGAAGGUUAAGGAGAGGGGUUAGCGUAAGCGAAGCUCUGAACUGAAGCCCCAGUAAACGGCGGCCGUAACUAUAACGGUCCUAAGGUAGCGAAAUUCCUUGUCGGGUAAGUUCCGACCCGCACGAAAGGUGUAACGAUUUGGGCACUGUCUCAACCAGAGACUCGGUGAAAUUAUAGUACCUGUGAAGAUGCAGGUUACCCGCGACAGGACGGAAAGACCCCGUGGAGCUUUACUGUAGCCUGAUAUUGAAUUUUGGUACAGUUUGUACAGGAUAGGCGGGAGCCUUUGAAACCGGAGCGCUAGCUUCGGUGGAGGCGCUGGUGGGAUACCGCCCUGACUGUAUUGAAAUUCUAACCUACGGGUCUUAUCGACCCGGGAGACAGUGUCAGGUGGGCAGUUUGACUGGGGCGGUCGCCUCCUAAAGUGUAACGGAGGCGCCCAAAGGUUCCCUCAGAAUGGUUGGAAAUCAUUCGUAGAGUGCAAAGGCAUAAGGGAGCUUGACUGCGAGACCUACAAGUCGAGCAGGGACGAAAGUCGGGCUUAGUGAUCCGGUGGUUCCGCAUGGAAGGGCCAUCGCUCAACGGAUAAAAGCUACCCCGGGGAUAACAGGCUUAUCUCCCCCAAGAGUCCACAUCGACGGGGAGGUUUGGCACCUCGAUGUCGGCUCAUCGCAUCCUGGGGCUGUAG
rnacentral:rRNA from 1 species